rnacentral:lncRNA from 1 species
CAUAAUUCAAAAAGUGAAUCUAAUUAUCAUAAAUAAAUGUAUUUAAUUUAUCCUAGAUUAUAGUACUCAAAUUAUUGAACACUUUUCAUAGGUAACCAAAAAGUAAAACUUCACCAUUCCCUCUUAAACUCUUCAACUCCCCUCCCUCUUAAACUUACAAGUGAGGUUACUGUUAAGGCCAGUUUUUUUUUUUUAUUCAAAAGUUGUCCUACUGAAAGGAAAAUCAAUCAAGCUCUUUCCAUCAUAACAUGACCUGACCUGAGAAUAUGUUUUAUCCAUGUCAUAUAUUCUACAAUAAUCUGUCAUCUUGAACUUCACAAGUAAUAGGACAAGUACAUUUUUCUAUUAUUUUAUCUCAGAUCUUAUUUGUGGUGAUAGCUCAGCCUCUAUUUCAACUCCUACUCUUUCCAAUCAGGUACAGUAUGGCAGCAAAUCUUCCAAGGCAAUGUCAUAGCUUCCCUUCUGUAGUCUUUGUAUAAAUUAUUUGAUGAUAAUGGCUUCAAAAGAAAAUAAUUAGCUAAAAAAGAGUCAGUGGGUAGCAAUUACCACUAAAUACAUUAUGUUUUAAUGAGAAC